rnacentral:rRNA from 2 species
GUCGACGCGUUGGCCCAAUUGAUUGAUGGUGCUUGCACCUGAUUGAUUUUGGUCGCCAACGAGUGGCGGACGGGUGAGUAACACGUAGGUAACCUGCCCAGAAGCGGGGGACAACAUUUGGAAACAGAUGCUAAUACCGCAUAACAGCGUUGUUCGCAUGAACAACGCUUAAAAGAUGGCUUCUCGCUAUCACUUCUGGAUGGACCUGCGGUGCAUUAGCUUGUUGGUGGGGUAAUGGCCUACCAAGGCGAUGAUGCAUAGCCGAGUUGAGAGACUGAUCGGCCACAAUGGGACUGAGACACGGCCCAUACUCCUACGGGAGGCAGCAGUAGGGAAUCUUCCACAAUGGGCGCAAGCCUGAUGGAGCAACACCGCGUGAGUGAAGAAGGGUUUCGGCUCGUAAAGCUCUGUUGUUAAAGAAGAACACGUAUGAGAGUAACUGUUCAUACGUUGACGGUAUUUAACCAGAAAGUCACGGCUAACUACGUGCCAGCAGCCGCGGUAAUACGUAGGUGGCAAGCGUUAUCCGGAUUUAUUGGGCGUAAAGAGAGUGCAGGCGGUUUUCUAAGUCUGAUGUGAAAGCCUUCGGCUUAACCGGAGAAGUGCAUCGGAAACUGGAUAACUUGAGUGCAGAAGAGGGUAGUGGAACUCCAUGUGUAGCGGUGGAAUGCGUAGAUAUAUGGAAGAACACCAGUGGCGAAGGCGGCUACCUGGUCUGCAACUGACGCUGAGACUCGAAAGCAUGGGUAGCGAACAGGAUUAGAUACCCUGGUAGUCCAUGCCGUAAACGAUGAGUGCUAGGUGUUGGAGGGUUUCCGCCCUUCAGUGCCGGAGCUAACGCAUUAAGCACUCCGCCUGGGGAGUACGACCGCAAGGUUGAAACUCAAAGGAAUUGACGGGGGCCCGCACAAGCGGUGGAGCAUGUGGUUUAAUUCGAAGCUACGCGAAGAACCUUACCAGGUCUUGACAUCUUGCGCCAACCCUAGAGAUAGGGCGUUUCCUUCGGGAACGCAAUGACAGGUGGUGCAUGGUCGUCGUCAGCUCGUGUCGUGAGAUGUUGGGUUAAGUCCCGCAACGAGCGCAACCCUUGUUACUAGUUGCCAGCAUUAAGUUGGGCACUCUAGUGAGACUGCCGGUGACAAACCGGAGGAAGGUGGGGACGACGUCAGAUCAUCAUGCCCCUUAUGACCUGGGCUACACACGUGCUACAAUGGACGGUACAACGAGUCGCGAACUCGCGAGGGCAAGCAAAUCUCUUAAAACCGUUCUCAGUUCGGACUGCAGGCUGCAACUCGCCUGCACGAAGUCGGAAUCGCUAGUAAUCGCGGAUCAGCAUGCCGCGGUGAAUACGUUCCCGGGCCUUGUACACACCGCCCGUCACACCAUGAGAGUUUGUAACACCCAAAGUCGGUGGGGUAACCUUUUAGGAGCCAG